rnacentral:rRNA from 1 species
GAUGAACGCUGGCGGCGUGCCUAAUACAUGCAAGUCGAGCGAACAGACGAGGAGCUUGCUCCUCUGACGUUAGCGGCGGACGUGUGAGUAACACGUGUAUAACCUACCUAUAAGACUGGGAUAACUUCGGGAAACCGUAGCUAAUACCGGAUAAUAUAUUGAACCGCAUGGUUCACUAGUGAAAGACGGUUUUGCUCUCACUUAUGGCUGGAUCCGCGCCGCAUUAGCUAGUUGGUAAGGUAAAGGCUUACCAAGGCGACGAUGCGUAGCCGACCUGAGAGGGUGAUCGGCCACACUGGAACUGAGACACGGUCCAGACUCCUACGGGAGGCAGCAGUAGGGAAUCUUCCGCAAAGGGCGAAAGCCUGACGGAGCAACGCCGCGUGAGUGAUGAAGGUCUUCGGAUCGUAAAACUCUGUUAUUAGGGAAGAACAAAUGUGUAAGUAACUAUGCACGUCUUGACGGUACCUAAUCAGAAAGCCACGGCUAACUACGUG